rnacentral:rRNA from 1 species
AUGAACGUUGGCGGCGUGCCUAAUACAUGCAAGUCGAACGGUGCGGGCUUAUGUCCGCAUAGUGGCGCACGGGUGAGUAACGCGUAGCUGAUCUGCCCCAUAGACUGGGAUAACCUUUGGAAACAGAGGCUAAUACGGGAUACGUUCGUGGUAGUUAGAGAGCCACGAAGAAAGUGUUAAAGCGCUAUGGGAUGAGGCUGCGAGCCAUCAGCUAGUUGGUGAGAUAAAGGCUCACCAAGGCGAUGACGGCUAGGGGAUCUGAGAGGGUGGCCCCCCACACUGGGACUGAGACACGGCCCAGACUCCUACGGGAGGCAGCAGUAAGGGAUAUUGCACAAUGGACGGAAGUCUGAUGCAGCGACGCCGCGUGGGCGAAGAAGGUUUUCGGAUCGUAAAGUCCUUUUCUAUGUGACGAGAAUGGACGGUAGCAUAGGAAUAAGUGUCGGCUAACUACGUGCCAGCAGCCGCGGUAAAACGUAGGACACGAACGUUAUCCGGAGUUACUGGGCGUAAAGGGCGUGCAGGCGGUAAGAUCAGUUACCUAUGAAAGGUAUCGGCUAAACUGGUAUAAGCUAGGUAAAACUGUCUUACUAGAGUGAGAUAGAGGGAAGCAGAAUUCCGGGUGUAGUGGUGAAAUGCGUAGAUAUCCGGAGGAAUACCGUUGGCGAAGGCGGCUUCCUGGAUUUCAACUGACGCUGUAGCGCGAAAGCGUGGGUAGCGAACGGGAUUAGAAACCCCGGUAGUCCACGCCGUAAACGAUGUACAUUAGGUGUUCGGCUACGUUGGUAGUUGAGUAUCGCAGCAAACGCGAUAAAUGUACCGCCUGGGGAGUACGGUCGCAAGGCUAAAACUCAAAGGAAUUGACGGGGGCCCGCACAAGCAGCGGAGCGUGUGGUUUAAUUCGAGGCUACGCGAAGAACCUUACCUGGGAUUGACAUGUUGGUAGUACGGAAGCGAAAGCGGAAGGGCCCUUCGGGGAGCCAGCACAGGUGCUGCAUGGUUGUCGUCAGCUCGUGCCGUGAGGUGUUCGGUUAAGUCCGCAAACGAGCGCAACCCUCGGUGCUAGUUACAAGUGUCUAGCAUGACUGCCCGUGACAAACGGGAGGAAGGUGGGGAUGAUGUCAAAUCAGCAUGGCCUUAAUAUCCAGGGCGACACACACGCUACAAUGGACGGUACAAUGGGUGGCGAAGUAGCGAUACGGAGCGAAUCCUCCAAAGCCGUUCUCAGUUCGGAUUGCAGGCUGCAACUCGCCUGCAUGAAGUCGGAGUUGCUAGUAACCGCAAAUCAGCACGUUGCGGUGAAUACGUUCCCGGGCCUUGUACACACCGCCCGUCACGUCAUGGGAGUUGGUCGAGCCUAAAGUCGGGAAGCGAACCCGUUUGGGGCGCUACUGCCUAGGGCAGGGUCGAUGACUGGGACGAAGUCGUAACAAGGUAGCUGUAGCGGAAGCUGCGGCUGGAUCACCUCCUUUCUAAGGGCAGCUC